rnacentral:lncRNA from 1 species
CUCCACGCAACCUCCGCUUUGAUACCAAAUGUUGGGAUUAGAAUCCUCACAUGGACCGAUGCAGGAACCUGGUGAUUAGCCAGCUACCAAAAGGAGAUCACCUAAAUGCGGAAGCAAAGAAAUAGUAAAUAAGAAAUGAGAGAAAAAAGAGUGCGAGAGUGUUUGGAAAAAAGAGCUUUUAUUCAAUCUGUAUUCAGCAUACAAUCAAUGUUUGACCUAGU